AGUGCUUGAGAGAAGCCACAGAAGCUGCAGGUGGAUUCGGAAACCGAUGCCGUCGAUCACUCAAUAAUAUUUGGGAUAAUAAUACAUGGUUCCCGUCGCAAGCCUGAAACGCCGGGAUCAAGACAAAGCUAUUUCUCAGCACAGCAGCCGCAGACUGAAUGUAGCUCCGGCUGAGUCCCUUCAGUUGAGGAGACCAGGAUGGUUGGCCUCAAACCCACAGAGAUGCCUCCUUCGGCCACGGUCAAGUUCCUCAGCGCUGGCACGGCGGCCUGCAUUGCUGACCUCUGCACCUUCCCUCUGGACACGGCUAAAGUCCGGCUCCAGAUCCAAGGAGAAUCCAAGUCCUCCAGAGCGGCCAAGGAUGUCCGGUACAAGGGCGUCUUUGGCACCAUCACCACCAUGGUCAAGAUGGAAGGGCCCCGGAGUCUCUACAACGGCUUGGUGGCCGGACUCCAGCGCCAGAUGAGCUUCGCCUCCAUCCGCAUCGGGCUGUACGACUCCGUGAAGCAGUUCUACACCCCCAAGGGGUCCGACAAUGCCAGCAUCCUCACCCGAUUGCUCGCUGGUUGCACCACUGGAGCCAUGGCGGUCACAUGUGCCCAGCCCACGGAUGUGGUGAAAGUGCGCUUCCAAGCACACAUCGGCCUCGCAGGCGGACCCAAGAAGUACAACGGGACCGUGGAUGCCUACCGGACGAUCGCCAGGGAGGAAGGAGUCAGAGGCCUCUGGAAGGGAGCUGGGGCUGACAGAUGGGAGCUCACCCUAUCCUGUGGAUUCGAAUUGCCAACCUUCAGGGACACUGCCAAACAUCGCUCGCAAUGCCAUUGUCAACUGCGGGGAGAUGGUAACCUACGACCUUAUAAAGGAGACGCUGCUCAAAUACCACCUGAUGACAGACAAUUUCCCGUGCCAUUUUGUUGCCGCCUUCGGAGCCGGUUUCUGUGCGACGGUGGUGGCCUCUCCUGUGGACGUGGUGAAAACGCGGUACAUGAACUCCAUCCCGGGACAGUACAAAAAUGCCCUGAAUUGUACGCUGACCAUGGUGAUGAAAGAGGGGCCCACAGCUUUUUACAAAGGUUUCAUCCCUUCAUUCCUGCGGUUGGGGUCCUGGAACGUGGUGAUGUUCGUGUCUUUCGAGCAGCUGAAAAGGAUGAUGGUCCUGGCUCAGGUGGCCUGGGAACCCCCUUCCUGAACACAGGCGUUGGCUUUGGGAUGCGGUCGGACUUCUCCAAGGACUUCUCAAGGGGUGACAAGACGUGGAAAGACGUGGUGCGGCUUUGGGUGGGAAGCCUUGAUGAACUGCUCUUGCCAGGAGGCGAAACGGAUCAAUUAUAUUCAUUGCUUUGCCGCAGGCUCCAGGGUCCAAUGACGUGUGAUAUUAUUUAAGCUGAAAAGAGGAGACUGUCCAAAAGCAAAAGCACUGGCUGAAAAAUUUUAAAAAGUAAACGAGAGAGAAAGAAAACAGAACUAAGAUAAGGAAGGAAGAGUUGCGGUUUAUUCUGACUUCGAAGGUUCAACCACAUUGGGACGGAACACAGGCCAAAGGAGUCUAAUUGAUGGAUAUACAGUUUCCAAGUUUCCAAUGGACCUCACGACCUCUGAGGAUGCCUGGCAUAGAUGUGGGCAAAACGUCAGGAGAGAAUGCUUCUGGAACAUGGCCAAACUCACAGCAACCCAAUGUAGACUACGGUAGUUUGUGGCACUUUCAAAUUUCCAUGAAACACAGAGACGAAUCCAUUUCGCAAAAGAAGAAACCUGCGAUAGAAAGACAUGAUAAGGACAGAAAUAUUUCUUUCUCUCUCAUCCAAGACCUUCAACAAUAGGGUUUUUUUUAAGUAUAUUGUUCCACUUUCAAUAAAGUUCUUCUUUUCUACUUUGCAAGAUGUCUCUUUGAUAUUACGAGGGUUGAAUGAAAAGUAAUGCCUCCA